UACGUAGGGCGCAAGCGUUGUCCGGAAUUAUUGGGCGUAAAGAGCUCGUAGGCGGUUUGUCGCGUCUGCUGUGAAAACCUGAGGCUCAACCUCGGGCUUGCAGUGGGUACGGGGCAGACUAGAGUUCGGUAGGGGAGUCUGGAAUUCCUGGUGUAGCGGUGAAAUGCGCAGAUAUCAGGAGGAACACCGGUGGCGAAGGCGGGACUCUGGGCCGAUACUGACGCUGAGGAGCGAAAGCGUGGGGAGCAAACA
rnacentral:rRNA from 1 species